GUGCUCCCCUCAGCAGCACACGUACUAAAAUGGGAAGGAUACAGAGAAGAUCAGCAUGGCCCCUGGCUGGAUGAUACAAAAUCGUGGCGUGUUCCAUAGUAAA